rnacentral:rRNA from 1 species
AUGAACGCUGGCGGCGUGCUUAACACAUGCAAGUCGAACGAAGCCCUCGGGCUUAGUGGCGGACGGGUGAGUAACGCGUGAGAAUCUACCUUCGAGAUGGGGACAACCGUUGGAAACGACGGCUAAUCCCCAAUAAGCCGAAAGGUGAAAGGGUUUCCGCUCGCAGAGGAGCUCGCGUCCGAUUAGUUAGUUGGUGGGGUAAGAGCCUACCAAGGCAGCGAUCGGUAGCUGGUCUGAGAGGAUGAGCAGCCACACUGGGACUGAGACACGGCCCAGACUCCUACGGGAGGCAGCAGUGGGGAAUUUUCCGCAAUGGGCGCAAGCCUGACGGAGCAACGCCGCGUGUGGGAAGAAGGCUCUUGGGCUGUCAACCACUUUUCUCAGGGAAGAAGUCCUGACGGUACCUGAGGAAUCAGCCUCGGCUAACUCCGUGCCAGCAGCCGCGGUAAUACGGAGGAGGCAAGCGUUAUCCGGAAUUAUUGGGCGUAAAGCGUCCGCAGGGGGCACUUCAAGUCUGCUGUCAAAGGUCGGAGCUUAACUCCGGUUCGGCAGUGGAAACUGGAGUGCUAGAGGGCGACAGGGGUAGAGGGAAUUCCCAGUGUAGCGGUGAAAUGCGUAGAGAUUGGGAAGAACACCGGUGGCGAAAGCGCUCUACUGGGUCGCACCUGACCCUCAGGGACGAAAGCUAAGGUAGCGAAAGGGAUUAGAUACCCCUGUAGUCUUAACCGUAAACGAUGGAUACUAGGCGUGGUUUGUAUCGACCCAAGCCGUGCCGAAGC